rnacentral:rRNA from 1 species
UACGUAGGGUGCGAGCGUUGUCCGGAUUUAUUGGGCGUAAAGAGCUCGUAGGCGGUUUGUCGCGUCGGCCGUGAAAUCUCCACGCUUAACGUGGAGCGUGCGGUCGAUACGGGCAGACUUGAGUUCGGUAGGGGAGACUGGAAUUCCUGGUGUAGCGGUGAAAUGCGCAGAUAUCAGGAGGAACACCGGUGGCGAAGGCGGGUCUCUGGGCCGAUAUUGACGCUGGAGGAGCGAAAGCGUGGGGAGCGAACAGG